rnacentral:rRNA from 1 species
CGGCUCAUUACAACAGCUAUUAUUUACUUGAUUUUGACAUCCUACGUGGAUAACUGUGGUAAUUCUAGAGCUAAUACAUGCACCAAAGCUCCGAUUUUUGACGAGCGCAUCUAUUAGACUAAAACCAAUCGGGCUUCGGCUCGUGUUUUGGUGAACUCUGAAUAGCUACUUGCUGAUCGUAUGGUCUUGUACCGGCGACGUGUCUAUCAAGUGUCUGCCUUAUCAACUUUCGAUGGUAGUUUAUGUGCCUACCAUGGUUGUUACGGGUAACGGAGAAUAAGGGUUCGACUCCGGAGAGGGAGCCUGAGAAACGGCUACCACAUCUAAGGAAGGCAGCAGGCGCGCAAAUUACCCACUCUCGGCAUGAGGAGGUAGUGACGAAAAAUAACGAGACCGUUCUCUAUGAGGCCGGUUAUCGGAAUGGGUACAAUUUAAACCCGUUAACGAGGAUCUAUGAGAGGGCAAGUCUGGUGCCAGCAGCCGCGGUAAUUCCAGCUCUCAAAGUGUAUAUCGUCAUUGCUGCGGUUAAAAAGCUCGUAGUUGGAUCUGCGCUUGGGAACUCGGUCCGCCCUUUGGGCGAGAACUGGGCUUCCCGGCUACGUUGUGCUGGUUUUCCCUGUGUUGCCUUCACCGGUCGCGCAGGGUGGCUAGCGAGUUUACUUUGAAAAAAUUAGAGUGCUUCAAGCGGGCUUUAAGCCUGAAUAUUCGUGCAUGGAAUAAUAGAAUAGGAUCUCGGUUCUACUUUGUUGGUUUUCUGAUCUGAGAUAAUGGUUAAGAGGGACGGACGGGGGCAUUCGUAUCGCUGCGUGAGAGG